rnacentral:rRNA from 1 species
ACAUAUCUCAACACUCUGUGCACUAACUUGUAGGAAUACGAGGGUGUGUAGAAGCCAUGACUUAUUCAUACUGUGAGAGGUUAUGGUUGAAGCUCUCCCCCGUUCCUAUGUUAUUUAUUCACAAACUUUUAGUUAAAGAAUGUAUUUAUACUUGCGUAUGACGCAUUUUAAUAUAACAACUUUUCAGCAACGGAUCUCUUGCGCUCUCGGCAUCGAUGAAGAACGCAGCGAAAUGCGAUAAGUAAUGUGAAUUUGCAGAAUUCCAGUGAAUCAUCGAAUCUUUGAACGCAACUUGCGCCCUUUGGUAUUCCCGAGGGGCACGCCUGUAUGAGUAUCAUGGAAAUCUCAAUCCCUAAAUUCUUUAUUGAUUUAUAGUAGGACUUGGAUGUGGAGGUAUUGUGUCGGCCAGUUCUGAUCGACUCCUCUGAAAUGCAUUAGCGUGAAUUCUUUGCGGAUCGCCUUCAGAUGUGAUAAUUGUCUACGCUGUGGUGUGAAGCAAUCUCUAUAUUCAUGCUUCUAAUCGUCUCUUUAGAGAGACAAUUACUUUUUAUUCUGAUCUCAAAUCAGGCAGGACUAGCCCGCUGACUAA